AGUUGUCAUGGGGAGAGUUGUCAUGGGUUGUUGUCAUAGGGAGAGUUGUCAUGGGAUAGUUGUUAUGAAGACUUGUCAUGAAGAGUUGUCAUGGAGGAGUUGUCAUGGAGGAGUUGUCAUGAAGACUUGUCAUGGAGGAGUUGUCAUGGAGGAGUUGUCAUGGGAGAGUUGUCAUGAAGGAGUUGUCAUGGAGGAGUUGUCAUGGGGAGUUGUCAUGGAAGAGUUGUCAUGGAAGAGUUGUAAUGGUGGAGUUGUCAUGAAGGAGUUGUCAUGGGAGAGUUGUCAUGAAGGAGUUGUCAUGGUGGAGUUGUCAUGGAGGAGUUGUCAUGGGGAGUUGUCCUGGAAGAGUUGUCAUGGUGGAGUUGUCAUGAAGACUUGUCAUGGAGGAGUUGUCAUGGAGGAGUUGUCAUGGGGAGUUGUCAUGGGAGAGUUGUCAUGAAGAAGUUGUCAUGGAGGAGUUGUCAUGGGAGAGUUGUCAUGGAAAGUUGUCAUGGUGGAGUUGUCAUGGGGAGUUGUCAUGAAGGAGUUGUCAUGGUGGAGUUGUCAUGAAGACUUGUCAUGAAGAGUUGUCAUGGAGGAGUUGUCAUGAAGGAGUUGUC
ensembl:lncRNA